UACGGGGGGAGCAAGCGUUGUUCGGAAUCACUGGGCGUAAAGCGCACGUAGGCGGAUGUGUCAGUCAGGGGUGAAAUCCCGGAGCUCAACUUCGGAACUGCCCUUGAUACAGCACGUCUUGAGUCCGGAAGAGGUGGGUGGAAUUCCUAGUGUAGAGGUGAAAUUCGUAGAUAUUAGAAAGAACACCGGUGGCGAAGGCGGCCCACUGGUCCGGUACUGACGCUGAGGUGCGAAAGCGUGGGGAGCAAACAGG
rnacentral:rRNA from 1 species